AUGGAAGGGGGUGUUCAAGAGAGCUGGUUAAUAUUCAAACAUCACUUCCUCAAGGCUCAAGAGCGGUGCAUCCCUAUGAGUAGGAAGUCAAGCAAAGGAGGCAGGAGACCUGCAUGGAUGAGCAAGGAGCUCCUGGCAAAACUCAACCAGAAGAAGGAAGUAUACAGAAAGUGGAAAGGGGGACAGGCCACUUGGGAGAAAUAUAGGAACGUUGUCAGAGUAUGCAGGGAUGUGACGAGGAAGGCUAAGGCCCGUUUGGAAUUAAAUCUGGCUAGAGAUGUCAAGGACAGCAAGAAGGGCUUCUUCAAAUACAUCAGCAGCAAGAGGAAGACUAGGGAAAAUGUGGGCCCUUUGCUGAAUGGGGUGGGUGCCCUGGUGACGAAGGAUGCAGAGAAGGCAGAGUUACUGAAUGCCUUCUUUGCUUCAGUCUUUACUGCUCAGGCCAGCCCUCAGGAACCCCAGAGCCUGGAGGCAAGAGAGAAAGUCUGGAGAAAGGAAGACUUUCCCUUGGUGGAGGAGGAUCGGGUUAGAGAUCAUUUAAGCAAACCUGACACCCACAAAUCCAUGGGCCCUGAUGGGAUGCACCCACGAGUGCUGAGGGAGCUGGUGGACAUUAUUGCUAAACCACUCUCCAUCAUCUUUGAAAGGUCAUGGAGGACAGGAGAGGUGCUUGAGGACUGGAAGAAAGCCAGUGUCACUGCAGUCUUCAAAAAGGGCAAGAAGGAGGACCCAGGGAACUACAGGCCAGUCAGCCUCACCUCCAUCCCUGGAAAGGUGAUGGAGCAGCUCAUCCUGGAGGCCAUCUCCAAGCAUGUGGAGGAAAAGAAGGUGAUCAGGAGUAGUCAGCAUGGCUUCACCAAGGGGAAAUCAUGCCUAACCAACCUGAUAGCCUUCUAUGAUGGAAUGACUGGCUGGGUAGAUGAGGGGAGAGCAGUGGAUGUUGUCUACCUAGACUUCAGCAAGGCUUUUGACACUGUCUCCCAUAACAUCCUCAUAGGCAAGCUCAGGAUGUGUGGGCUAGAUGAGUGGACAGUGAGGUGGAUUGAGAACUGGCUGAAUGGCAGAGCUCAGAGUUGUGAUCAGUGGCACAGAGUCUAG
rnacentral:lncRNA from 1 species